UGCUAUUCAAAUUCAACAUACAUGACCAAUAUUUCCAUCUCAUUUGAACAAAUUGAAUGGAAAAACAAUUGGGAUUUUUUUAAUUAUCAAUUAUUGGUCUACAUAUUUUAAACUACUUAAAAGUCUAAGUUCCUUUUUCCUAAUAUUUUUAGAUUUAAAUACAAAAUUUAUUGGAAGUGUCCUCAUAAGAGUGACGGAAUUAGAUAUAUUUUGGAUUUUAUACAAUCUUUUAAUGACCUUUUGGCAAGCAGAUUCCAAGUGUGGGUGUGUAAAGUAGAUAACACCUUUUUCCAAAUUUUUCUUAUUUAAAACGAAGAACAAUAACUUUGACCAGGUGAUCCAUGGAAUAAAAAAAAGUCGACAUGUUUAAAAUAAUGUGAGUUGGAACAAUCAUACGUUAUUA
rnacentral:lncRNA from 1 species